AAUCCCCCUUCUUGUUGCGGCCAUCCCCAAAGGGGAGGUUCGUUUCUUCGGGGGACCCUGACAGCCCCACGCGGGGGGCCUCCGCGUGUGAGAAGAAAAGCGCGUCUGGCGGCAGAAAUCAGCUUUUCGGCGGCCGGCACGUCCGCUAGAAGCUAUUCAGCCACACAAAGGCUGGACCACACCUCCCUCCCCAGGUGCUCGCGGCGCUCUCUACUAAAAUGGUGGCUCCCCGGAACCUUUGUCUGCCUGCCUUUGUGAGACGCCUCGGAGGAAGCUGGGAGGACCGCCGAGCUCUGGAAUAUAAUCAUGAAGACAAUGACGUCAUCACGAAGCGAUUCCAGUUUAGGCCCCCCCCGCCCCCUCCCCGAGCCCUUUCUUCCCACUAAUGCUGCUAUUGUCCUUGUUUUACAGAUGAGGAAACUGAGGCGGAGGGCAGUUCAUUGAGAGCCUGGCGCGGGAGGACGGGGCUGGGCGGGAUUCCAAUCCAGCUCUCCUGAUCUCAAGUACCCCCACAGCGCUGUGGGUACUGCUUAAGUCAAUAACAGAUUAGAACAACAACAACAAAAUCCCAGCGGUCUGCCUUUUCCAUUCAAAAUGGAGGCGGGGGUCUUCACGGAAGAAGCCGGGGAGCUCUCGGCCGCUUCUGGGUGAUCGAUCCCUUUGUCUUCGCCCUCCUCUAAAGCAGCCCACGGUUCUUCCCUUUUGAAAUCAAAACGCUGACAAAUUAAAGCUCUCCAGAGAGCCCUGGGCUCCCGGGAAUAUAAAAAAUGCAGCACCCCUCGGGGCUGCCCGCCCCGCCUCCCCCGGGGCCACUCGGCUCUGUCCAGUGAUUUCUGGUGACUUUCCGCACCCGGCCGAAAUCUCUCCUCUUAUCUUUAGGUUAAUUUAGAAAAUGGAGCAGGUGCCAUUCACAGUCCUUUCUUUGUCAAACAAAGGGGAGGCAAGAGAAUUGGAUUCUGGGGUCCGGGGGCCUGGGUUCAAAUCUCACCCCCGCUGCUUACUAAGUGGAGGACUUUUAGGCAAGUGGCUUUGCCUCUGUUUCCUAAUUCUGAUCAUAACAAUUCAUCAAAACACAAAGGUCUGCAGAGCGCUUUAAAUAUGCCGUCUUGUUUGAUUCUCACAACAAGCCAGCGAGUUUGGGGAGCCGCCACCUCAGUGCCGUGCCACCCGGGUACAGGUGCCACCCCGGCAAGAGCUAGAAACGAGAGCCUGGCCAAGAUGGCCGCUGGCAGUCUUCACUGGCAUUUUAAGAUGGCACCACUGGCCGCAGCAAUUGAAAUGCGCACGGGAGGCGGAGAGGGAGGAGGCGAGGAGGAGGCAGCACGAGCUGCCAAGCCCGGGCGACAGCCGAUCAAUAUUCCGGAUUCCACUUGUCGAUUUCUCUGGGAAACCGAGCCAUUGUGCUUUAGCGCCACCACGUGGAGAGGCCGGGACCUGGCCGCAGCCAACGGCUCGCUGAGCAAAAAUGGUGCCACCCUGGGGCGUUAGCACAUUGGGAAGGGAGAAAAGGGCUCCCAGCCCCCCUCAAAUGGAACUAUCCCAACGCCCUGGGGAACGGGGCUCAUCCCAGUCUAACGGCUACCCAAGUGAAAGCACGAACGCCGUCUCUCCUUCGAAGCGUGCCCCCUCCGGCACUGAUUGGCUUCUUUGUCCAAGCCACGGCUGGCUCCGAGAACUGGGGAGAACAAAGAAUGGAGCAGCAAGGAUGGAUGAUGAGGUGAUGGUCCAGGAAGCCUGCUUAAGAGGAAGAGAAAGAAUAACUUGGAAAUACACAAAAGGCAGCCACAAGGAUCAACAGGUUGCAGGGAGAAGAGGAAGAGAGGCCGUUGCUUGGUGAUACUGUCAGAGGGAGCAUCUGACAAGGGUGAUGGAGAACCAGGGAAGCACCAACUCCUCCAUGUGGCCUUGCAGGAAAUAAUAAAGGAAAGCCAACCUUCCCGGUAAAAUGAGCUGGAGAAGGAAAGGAAACGGCAAACCUGCCCCCCACUGCCCCACCCUCUCAAAAAUCUAUAAAGGCACAACAAGGGAAGUUUAUUCCAGAAGAAAAGGUGAAAUGAUGGGCCUCCGUUUUCCAAUCUGAGGAGGACAACUGGAGCAAUGUGAGCUGGAGUGAGAAGAUAUGGAUUCAAAUCCUGAUGGACAGCAACACUUACUAGUUAUGUCAUCUAAGAUGAAGAAACUGAAGAAGACAGAGGUUAAGUGACUUGCCCAGGAUCACACAACUGCUAUGUGGUCCAGUUUUCUCUCAUCUCCAAGGCCCAGCACUCUUUUGUUCCUAUUGUGUAUCUUCUCUCUUCAGUUGUAAGCAGCAGUAUCAGGACCCAAGCUCUAUAUGUGGUUAUUGGAGUGGUUAUUCUGACUCCAAAUACACCAUUUCAUUUAGUGGAAAUAAUGGAGUCAGAGUGGACUUGGUAGGAUGUCUGAUCUUUGCUCCAACAACUACUAAUUGACUUUGGGCAAGUCACCUCUGAGCCACAGUUUCUUAAUUUGUAGAAUGAGUAUCACCAUUGUUAACAGCUACCUCCCUACAGAAUUGUAAAGAAAAAACUCUGAAGACCUUAAAUGGCCAAUUCUGGUCCAUAAGUACCUCUGCCAUUAUUUUCGUAGCUUCCUUUUUCCUCUGCUAUAAAAUGAGGGGGUUGGAUAAUAAUGCCUCUAAAGACCCUUUUGGUAGAAAAUCAGGGGUUCUUAACUAAUUUUGUGUCAUAAAUAUCUUUGACAGUCUGGGGGGACCUUUGGCCCCUUCCUCAAAAUAAUUUCUUUAAAAUUCAUAAUUAUAAGAAAUACUACAUUUCAGUCAGAGGUCAGUGAAAAUAAUUAUGCCAUUUUCUUCCUAUCCAAGUCCAAGAUCGCCUAAGACCUAUCCACAGGUUUCCUGUUAAGGACUCUGGGUAUGGACCAAUGGUCCUCUGAACCAGAGUGAUGAAGACAUUUGGCAGAGGUUGGGUCACACAGGGAGUAAGGGGCAGAGUCAAGAUUCAAAUCCAGAGCCCUUUCCCCUGUAUCAGGCUUGUCCUUUAAGGCACUGGCAGCAGCCCAAUGUUUCAGUCCCUUCUGGGACGCCAAUACUAGCAGGAAUUCCUUUGGUUCGCAAAGGUUUUCCAGAUGCUCUACAAGUAUCUCAUUGAAUCCCACCGGGGCCCUAGGAGAGAGAUCUAUUAUGAUCUCCAUUUUAUACUUGAGGAAACAGAAGUCCUCUUUGGGUGAAUACCUCCAUGUCCAACUUUUUAUCCUGUAUAAAAUGGGGGAAAUUCCUAUAGUACCAAAUAGAUGGAAAGCAUUUUCUCCCCAAUGCUAAAGCUCUGCAUAAACAUCAGUCGCCAGUUAUUAAAAGUCAUUUGUCCAGUAAUAGGACUAUAAAGGGGUGGCUCUGUCAGUCAGUGAGAUCCUAGCAAUGACAUGGGGUUAAUAACAGUAGAUUCAAAUUGGAACUCCUCGAUUUGGUGGCUUCCCACCUGAUAGUUUGGGCUGCUUAGGUUGUAAAGAAGAUAGAGCCCUGGGUUUGGAAUCAUCUUCCCCAGUUCAGAUCUGGCCUGGGACAGAUUCUAUACCCCAAAGAGAUGGGGGAAAGGACCCCUAAGUACAAUAUUUAGAGCAGAUCUAUUUUUGGUGACAAAGAAUUAGAAACUGAGGAAGAGCUGCCCAUGGAUAGAAGAACAGUGGUGGCAUAGAACUGUCAUGGAAUACUCUUGUGCUGUAAGGAACGAUGAAGAAGGCUGAAGUGAACAGAACAACACAUACACUAAGAGCAGUAUUGUUGUAAGUAAUCCACUUUGAACUGUUGAGGGAUUCAGAUCCAUGCAAUGCUCCAUCCUCUCCCCAAAGAGCUCCAGAUUCUCAAUGGAAAACCCCAGCCCUCUGAGGGCCAAUCGAAAGGAUCUUUAUUCAAGCAGUCCAGGCUGGAAUUGGAUUUGUUGGAACAAACAUGUUUUUUAACUAAUGGGGGUUUUGGUUUUCUUUUUUUGCAUAGUAGAUCAGGGCAAAAAUAACAUUUUAGAUUAAAACCAAACCGCCGCCGCCUGCGUGACCUUUGGUUGCCUCCGAGCCUCAGUUUCCCAAUCUGUAAAAGGCACUCUCCAUCUGGGAGACUGUAGCUCUCUUCCUACCCAUUGGAAUUCCCCUUCUUGCCCAGCUUUGGAGAGUCUGUUCUUGCCUUGGUCUUCCGUUUUCCUAUCGGUAAAUGGGGGAUGGGCGGAAUGGGCGCAGUGGGUUCUAAGGAAUCCCCCAAUCCUCCAUGGACCUCUCCAGGGGCUCUGGGGAUCUGGAGACAGGGAGCUGGAUGGUCACUGGGAACCGCCCCAUUUUACAAAUAGGAAAAUAUAGCCCGGCUAAGUCAUGCAGCACGUGACGUCAGUGGCGGGACUCGAACCCAGGCUCCGCCUCCGAACCUAGUAGGGCUCGGUCCGGGACCCGCACCGCGCGAGAUACAGCCACAGCCAGGACCAGUGAAUGGGGGUUGGGCCCGCAGACAAGUCCAUACCAAGAUGGCGCUUGGGCCUGGCUGCGCCUGCGUUGCAAACGCGGAGAAUCCCCACACUGCGCACGCGCCUCAGCCUAGCCCACCUCCACCCCCCACGAGCCACGCCCCCUCCCAGCCUAGGAUGUUUAUAGUUGGCGCAAGCGGAAGCCUGGGGUGGAAGGGAAAUGGACAGAACGGAAGUUGUGUGUCUAGAGGGGCCAGUCCGGAUUCCGAUGGGGCCCUUCUGCUCCUUCCGCUCGACUUCUCGGAGGACCCACGGUUUUUGUCUAAGAGCUGUCUUUUAGAGCUCCUGCUAUGUGCCGUGCGCUGCCUGGGCCUCUGGGAACACAACAGCGUGAAACAGAGAAAAAGGCCUGAAUUUGGAAUCUGAGGCUCUGAGUGUGAUUUUUGACCCUGUUGCUGUGACCUUUAGCAGGUUGCUCACCCUCUCUAGCUAUGGCCUCUGAGCAAGCCCUUCUGUGCAGCAUGCAGGAACAAUAUGCGUUUAUUGAGUGCCUGCUGUAUGCAAGGCUCUGGAUAUAGAGACAGCCCCUGCUCUCAAGGAGCUCCCAGUCUAUUGGGGUGACAGCAGGCAAACCCAAACAAAGCGAACUCUCCACCGGAUAACUAGGAAGUAAUUAGAAGAGGCAAAACGCUGGAACUAACCUUGCUUGAGACUCUUCCUGCAUAAAUAAGUCAGGCUCUCCACACUUCAGUUUCCCCAUCUGCAUCUUGAUACUUCCUGCCUCUCAGGAAGAACUUGGCUACCUCCAAAGAGCCCUUGGACAGUGGGAGCCAGCCAGUGUCCCGGCAGGAGCUUCAGCCUCAGAAUGAGAAUUGGAGGGAGCUGACCCUGCCAGAGCUCUGGUGAUUUCAUCCAUAAGAGGCCUCUCGAGUUCUCCCACACUUUUGGUUUGUGGACUCCAUUUAUAACUGAGGACCCCAAGGAGCUUUUGUUAGAAAGUGUAUUUAUUAUAUCUUAUUUAUUAGAAAUCAAAGCAUUGUAGCUUUAUUGUGAAAAUAGUUCGGACCUAGUAGACCCCCUGAAAGGGUCUUAGGGACCCCCAAGGGUCUCCCACUAGAAAACUUCCCAAGGUAGCCUUUUCUAUAAGCCUGGAGAGCUCAGAGGUUAAGAGAUGCCAAUGGGGAUGACCUAGUUGGACUGGUGCUUUAGGAAGGCCUACUGGUGGGAGCCAGAGUGCUGGGAAGUGAUCUGUGACUCCACAGUCAACGUGAACCACCUCAAGCAACUGGAAAGGACAAAAGAAGCUCCAACUAUCCCCAGGGAAAAUGUGUCCUUGUCCUUAGGCCAUCCCUGGCACUAAACCUUCUUAGUUAGGUUUCUAUAGACUACCAGAUUCCUGCCUGAGGGUGUACUGGCUUUGUUUGUAAACUCCCUCCUAACUCCAUAAGGGAGAGCCCAAUUUAGGGAUAUGGAUUGGGGAAGACCUUGGCUCUCCAGGAGUUGAUUGAGUUAAUUGGACCCCCUCUUCCCAGGGCCAGACGACAUUUUUUUGCUUGUCCCACCCCUCUGUCCAGCUGCCCAAAGCAAGCACUUUCUCCCUCAGCUCUCUUUGGUAAUCUGGAGGUUCACAGAUAGUUUGAAUUUGUCUUCUGGGCACUCAACUCAUAAAAGGUUCACCAGGGGGUAGAUCAUUGCAUUGCUGAGAAUAGCUAAAUCAUCACAGCUGAGUCAUCAUACUCCAUGGCUGUUACCCUGUAAAAUGUUCUUCUCUCCUCAUUUUGCAUCAUCAGUUCCUGUAAUACCUUCCAGGUUUUUUCGAACUCAUCCUAUUCAUCAUUUCUUAUAGCACAAGACUAUUCUAUAACAACCAUGUACCACAAUUUGUUCAGCCAUUCCCCAAUGGAUGAACAUCCCCUCCAUUUCCAAUUCUUUGUCGCCACAAAAAGAGCUUCUGUUGAUAGUUUUGUACAUAUAGAUCCUUUUACUUCAAGAAAAAGACUUAGUAGUGAUAUUUUGGUUCAAAAGGGAUCCAGUUUUAUAGCCAUUUGAGCAUAGUUCCAAAUUGCUCUCCAGAAUGGUUGGAUCACAUCACAACUACACCAAGAGUUCAUUGAUGUCCCAGGUUCCCCACAUCCCUUCCAACUUGUCAUUUUCUUUCCUGAUAUUUUCACAGGUGUGCGGGCUACCUCCAGAGUUGUUUUUAUUUGCAUUUCUCUGGUCAUUAGUGAUUUAGAACAUUUUUAUAGGGCCGUUUUCUUCAUCUGAAAGCUGCCUCUUUGUAUCCUCUAACCAUUUAUCAAUUGGGGAACGACUUAUACUUGUCAACUGUGUUUUUGGAAACCCCAGGUUUGCUCCUGUCCAGUGGGAACUUGCCUUCAGACUGACCUUGUCUUAGACUGAAGAAUGGAUCACCAAACAUCCACUAAGUAUUCUGAACAGGAGUGAUAGAAAUGGCCCAAACCUCAGUCAUCCUUUUUGUCUUAGUUUCCCCCAUUGUAGCAGAGAUCCUUUCCCAGGUGGACCAGUACCUGACUCUAAUGAUCCUUUUGUAUACCUUGUAAAGGAUUAGCCUCUCCCUAAUGAUCUAGCUCUGUACUCCACAUUUCCUCAUGUCCAUUGUAAAGCUAAUGAAUCAUAUUCUCCUGCUCUUUAUUCCCCAAAAGGUAUAUAAGACCCCCAGGUUCUAUUGCUCUUUGGAAAAUCAUCUUUGGUGGUGUGUUUUCCCAGAGACACUGUUUCCAGAGUCCCAGAGCGUUGGGUUCUGUGUGGCUACUGAAUCUUGACCUCUUUCCCUUGUCCUGAUCAAAGACUUGGUCUUGCUGACUACUUUAUUGGUUCUCUGUUUCUUAAAGUUGAUAUAUUCUUAUAAAUUUAACUGAGUGCUCUAGAUAUUUGAGAAUAUUUGAGAAAUGAGACCUUUAACAGAGGCAUUUGCUGGGGGCCUCUGGGUAUCUCAGUGGAUUGAGAGCCAGGCCCAGGGACAGGAGGUCCUGGCUUCAUAUCUGGCCUCAGACACCUCCCAGCUGUGUGACUCUGGGCAAGUCACUUGACCUCCAUUGCCUAGCCCUUACCACUCUUCUUGGACCACCAAGAUGGAAGGUAAGGGUUUAAAAAAAAAAAUAAAAA